CUUGUGGGCAGGGUUUAAGAUCAUACCCUCCGGCUGGUUCAAAUACAUCAAGAAUCCGUCUUUGGUCAUGUGUUGCUUCUCUUUAGCUGAAAGGCCCAGAAGAGAAAUGUGUCAAAUGGACAGAAAGCUCAGUUUAACUACUGAAUGAAGCUAACCCGUCAGUCCUCACCUAUGUCGUCAACCUCAUACUUCUCUAUGAGUUUCUGGGCAUCUUCUAGGGAGACAGAUUCUCGUUGCUCUUGAAGCAGGAAAUGAAGAAGGUCCCUGGUGGUCAUCUGGCCUCCAGUCUGGGCGUACUUCCCGUAAAUGACAUCUAUCUCCUCCCGGGAGGUCAGUAGCUUGUAGAAAUCUUCGAUUUCAGAGCCCUCCAGGUAUCCUGACUUGGAUUUGUCACAUUUCU